rnacentral:rRNA from 1 species
GAUGUGCCCAGAUGGGAUUAGCUAGUAGGUGGGGUAACGGCUCACCUAGGCGACGAUCCCUAGCUGGUCUGAGAGGAUGACCAGCCACACUGGAACUGAGACACGGUCCAGACUCCUACGGGAGGCAGCAGUGGGGAAUAUUGCACAAUGGGCGCAAGCCUGAUGCAGCCAUGCCGCGUGUAUGAAGAAGGCCUUCGGGUUGUAAAGUACUUUCAGCGGGGAGGAAGGCGAUAAGGUUAAUAACCUUGUCGAUUGACGUUACCCGCAGAAGAAGCACCGGCUAACUCCGUGCCAGCAGCCGCGGUAUACGGAGGGUGCAAGCGUUAAUCGGAAUUACUGGGCGUAAAGCGCACGCAGGCGGUCUGUCAAGUCGGAUGUGAAAUCCCCGGGCUCAACCUGGGAACUGCAUUCGAAACUGGCAGGCUAGAGUCUUGUAGAGGGGGGUAGAAUUCCAGGUGUAGCGGUGAAAUGCGUAGAGAUCAGGAGGAAUACCGGUGGCGAAGGCGGCCCCCUGGACAAAGACUGACGCUCAGGUGCGAAAGCGUGGGGAGCAAACAGGAUUAGAUACCCUGGUAGUCCACGCC